UGCAGCACUUUGACGCACACAGCUUAAAGAGUUUGAUCCAAGUCACCUCCCGUCUUGCUUUCUUAAGAACACGUGGCUUUAAAUUAAUUCACAGGCACCAGCAUACUCCCUUAGGUUCCUGAUUUUGGACAUCAGAUUCUGUUAUUCUUUGGAAACAGAAGCUUAUGAACAUCUCGGUCAUCGUAACGGUAUAAAAAAGAUCACAGAUUGUGCUCGCUUUUCCUCCAGAAGCGAUACGGCGCAUCUCUGUCCAAACUGAACUCAACCGUGUUUAGCUUUAGCACUGAUGAGUAAGUGAAAACGCAGGAGAUGUAAGCAUGCAUCUGUCCAGCGAAGCUGUUUACAUUCCAUAGUUGGGGAUUCUUUUAUUUUUUCUUUGCUGUUGUGCUGUGCAGUUCUUUUGCCUGUUCUAAUUUGCCGUGACGUGGUCAGUUUCCUUCCGGCUGCUCGCAAGCCUGUGGUCGAGAUAAGGAUACAUUUGCAGCACGUUUUUAAAAAGAAGCUGAAGAUCUGCUUCACGUAGAGACUUGGGGACUCUUUGGCCUGCAUGAGGAAUUUAUUGGCUGUUUUUCUGUUGUGAACCGUGGGAAUCAAGAUCAAGGGCAUUUCUUUUGCUAAAGAACAGCCCUGCAGAAUUGGAACUGUGUGUGAGGCAGAAAGGUGAUACACCUGAGGUAUCCUGCAGCUCGGGAAGGAACAUUUGCACGUGUUGAUUAGUGGAAGUAAUACCUUUGGGGAUCAGAAGGUAUCCAACUUUCCUAGAGCCUGAGAUAAACAG